GUACACUCCUGCGGGAGGCAGCAGUGGGGAAUAUUGCACAAUGGGCGCAAGCCUGAUGCAGCCAUGCCGCGUGUAUGAAGAAGGCCUUCGGGUUGUAAAGUACUUUCAGCGGGGAGGAAGGUGUUGAGGUUAAUAACCUCAGCAAUUGACGUUACCCGCAGAAGAAGCACCGGCUAACUCCGUGCCAGCAGCCGCGGUAAUACGGAGGGUGCAAGCGUUAAUCGGAAUUACUGGGCGUAAAGCGCACGCAGGCGGUCUGUCAAGUCGGAUGUGAAAUCCCCGGGCUCAACCUGGGAACUGCAUUCGAAACUGGCAGGCUAGAGUCUUGUAGAGGGGGGUAGAAUUCCAGGUGUAGCGGUGAAAUGCGUAGAGAUCUGGAGGAAUACCGGUGGCGAAGGCGGCCCCCUGGACAAAGACUGACGCUCAGGUGCGAAAGCGUGGGGAGCAAACAGGAUUAGAUACCCCGGUAGUCCCAUG
rnacentral:rRNA from 1 species